rnacentral:rRNA from 1 species
AGUGAACGCUGGCGGUAGGCCUAACACAUGCAAGUCGAACGGCAGCACAGGAGAGCUUGCUCUCUGGGUGGCGAGUGGCGGACGGGUGAGGAAUACAUCGGAAUCUACUCUGUCGUGGGGGAUAACGUAGGGAAACUUACGCUAAUACCGCAUACGACCUACGGGUGAAAGCAGGGGACCUUCGGGCCUUGCGCGAUUGAAUGAGCCGAUGUCGGAUUAGCAAGUUGGCGGGGUAAAGGCCCACCAAGGCGACGAUCCGUAGCUGGUCUGAGAGGAUGAUCAGCCACACUGGAACUGAGACACGGUCCAGACUCCUACGGGAGGCAGCAGUGGGGAAUAUUGGACAAUGGCGCAAGCCUGAUCCAGCCAUACCGCGUGGGUGAAGAAGGCCUUCGGGUUGUAAAGCCCUUUUGUUGGGAAAGAAAUCCAGCUGGCUAAUACCCGGUUGGGAUGACGGUACCCAAAGAAUAAGCACCGGCUAACUUCGUGCCAGCCGCCGCGGUAAGAC